CAUAGUCUCUCUCUCACUUCAACUCACUCUCAAGCAAUGACCCACACAGAUCUCUCUCUCUCGUCAAACCUCCCACUAUCACAUGUAUCAACUCCACGCCGUCCACCAUCAUUGUCAAUCGGUACUGUCCAUCGAUCGCAGUCAUGGUUUAGAUCCGCCAUUCUCCGUGGUCAGAUCUGUGGGUCUUCUUCUCCAUAACCUUCUUCUCCUCUCUCUCUUUCUUUCUCUAACUUCGUUUCGCCAUCUCUCGAAAACCGAUAUGCUACAGGAUAGGUGGAUCUCACUGAAUUUGACUGUAACUUAGCUCGAUAUCGUCGGAUCUACAAUUCAGCUCAUCGGAUCUGACUGAAACAUAUUCCAUCUCGCCGAAUCUGACCACAAUGCACUCAAUCUACCCGAAUCUAACCACAACACACUUGCUCUCGCCUGCUACGCAUAAGCUUCGCGAAUAAUGUUGCUGAGAAUAUGGUUGACAAGAAGGGUCACGCUUGAUUAGAGAGGUGUAACGAAGAAAAUACUGCAAAAUUUAUUAAUAUUUUCUCCAUUGGUUCCAACUUCACACUAUAGUUGACCAGAAAGACAAAGAAAAUAAAAAGGACAGAUUGGUGCUGGUGCCUUCUUUGGCAUUUGGUUGGUUUCUACCAUUGUUGGUACUGUUGAUUCCACCCCAAUGGUACCAAAGUUGUUGGAAGUUAUGAGGCUUCGUUAUAGUGUGUGGUUAACUGCUUGGCUUUUGUUAUUCAAGAAAAAUAGAGAUGAAUUGGUUGCCAAGAUUGAUGGGGUAAAAGAGCAGGUUCUUGGUUCAGAUUGACGACCAAUAUGAAUGAUGUGCCAAUUUGUAGCAAUUGGUAUUGGAUCAUCUUUUCCUUGCAGGGAAAGAAAGAAUGCUUUGCUUCAUGCCUCUUUGUUUGUUAUGACUUAAUUCGGACAGACGUUGCUCUUGAACUUGCCUGGAUCAACAACAUGAUCGACUUUGCUUUCCUAUACCUAUUGCAGAUGCCUUUUCAACAACUUGCAAAUCCUACUUUAGAUUUGGAUCAAAUCUGUGGUGGAUGGUGGAGAGAACAUAACGAAGGAGCAAUUGAAAGUCUAUGUUUGGAAAACACUAUAUAAUGACAGCAAGUAUGUGUGUGCACGUUGUUUUUUGGGGAGGGGAG